CCGAGUUUCAGCCCAUGCCGCCAUUUCGUAGGUGAACAUUGAGCAAAGAAAUGGCUUCUGCUCAUGCACUCCUCGUCAUGUUACUGCCCGUUCUUUUGUUCCUACUACAAGAUGCACAUGCCUACAAUGGUGUGGAAGAAAGAAGGAAUACCCUAGUGUGUAACAGAGACGAAGGACUAUGUAGACUUACGGAUCAUAUGAUCUCCAUCAUCAGCAUUAUUUUCUUCAUAACGGACGCCGGCCAAUAAAGCAUCGACGAAGCAGCAGUUAUAUUAAUGCCUGCAGGUGCAAUGGCCAUUUACGCUAUGGAAGGUAUUUGCAGGAUUGGUACCACUACGACCAAAGACGCCACCGGUGCAUUAGACGAGGUUUCGAGAAGAACUGUAACGGAUUUCCAUCACACAUUGCGUGCCAUGCAGCGUGCGUAACGCGGAUAGGUUAAUCCCGUACGGCAUUCUGAUUUCCUUAAAUUACUUGAAUAAUAAAGCGUUUCUUACGAAA